GCUCAGAUUGACUUGUUUCAUUAGUUCUGGAACGGUUUCUUCAGGAUUCUGAUGGAUCUCUUUAUGGGGAAGCUCAAAAGAGGAAGGUUUGGGACAGACCACAGCCUCUGCUGCUGUGGCUUGAGUUUGCAACCGGCAUUCACCUCCCCCCUCUACUACGCAUUGUUGAUCUUUCCCCAACCCCCUCAGACUUACACUUCCGGUUCAUGUGGGUUACCAGAUGACGUACCUGGCCAUCAUGCCCUUCUCAGGCCAUGACUGCACUUCUUCAUUUAUCAUCAAACUUGAGUAAGGAGAGGCCGGAUGUGGUGGCUCACACCUGUAAUCCUAGCACUUUGGGAGGCCAAGGUGGGUGGAUUACCUGAGAUCAGCAAUUCAAGACCAGCCUAGCCAUCAUGGUGAAACCCCAUCUUGUUAAAAAAAAUAAUAAUCAUAUAUAUAUAUAUAUAUAUAUAUAUAUAUAUAUAUAUGAAAGGAAAAAAAAUAAUAAAAUUGGGUAAGGAGAAGCUCCAGGCACAGCCUGUGGGUGGCCCUGCUCUGUAAGGAGCAGUCAAAAAGAAAAAAUUGGGUAAGGAAAAACAUACUGAAAUGGAUGAUCUGGGUGCCAAAUAUGUUCUUCCCCGUUCCCACUGUGUAAUAGUAGCUCUGUCCCCUGAUAAUGACCCCUUUCGUUGCCUUCUUGUCUCUUGGUAGUGAUUUGAAGUAAUCUAGUGCCUGCCAUAGCUUAAAAAGUUUAGUGAGACUCAGUGUGUCCACUGGUGCAAAUAUUCUCAUUCUGGGGACCAGGACUUCUAAACCCUUAGAGCCCAGAGUUGAGAUAGAAGGCACAGAUUCCCCUGUUGGGUCACUGGGAGUGAUGACAAUGGCAGGCUGCUCUACAGCCACCCCUUGUUCCCCUGAGCCAUGUAUUUUCCUUAAGGAUACACCAUUUGAUGGCUGUUGAUCUCAGGUAUGUACUGCAUCAUGGAGGAUGAUGCCUCCUCCUUACAGGGUAUCAUCUCCAAUCUGGUGCCACUGGACCUCUAAAAACGUCACUGAUCGGCCGGGCGCGGUGGCUCACGCCUGUAAUCCCAGCACUUUGGGAGGCCGAGUCGGGCAGAUCACUUGAGGUCAGGAGUAUGAGACCAGCCUGACCAACGUGGUGAAACCCCGUCUCUACUAAAAAUACAAAAAUUAGCCGGGCAUGGUGGUGUGCACCUGUUCUCCCAGCUACUAGGGAGGCUGAGGCAGGACAAUCGCUUGAACCCAGGAGGCCAAGUCAGGAGAAAAGAUUCAAAAAAAGGAGUUUGUACUAUUAAUUUCACUAGGACGUCAGAGGAGACAUAGGAUUUUAGUUCUGAACUUAUGAAUAUGUGAAACUAGGGAUGAUGGAAAUAAAUAUUUAGCCAUUUUCCUAGUUGUCUUUUUGUAAAGGUUAACAGUUUCAUAUGAAUUAAAUUUAAAAUGAACAUAUUUAACCUGUUUUUUAAAUAAUGUAAAGUAAAAAUAUAAUGAGGAAAGAAAUGGAAGGUAUUUUUAAAAGACGAAAAUGGAACUUCUUGAGAUGAAAAGUAUAAUAUCUGAAAUGAAAAAUACACUGGAUGGAACUUCUGCCUCUGGGAGGUGGGGUAGAUGUACUUCCACCCUCCCAGAACAAGCAUAACCCUGGAAAUUAUUUAUUAAACAGAAGAAGACUUCAAAAGGUGGAGAAAAGAACACGGACUGGAAUAGAAAAUAGAAAUCUCGCGACCCACAAAACAACAAAGUGGGUGGUGGAGCUGGUGACUACUGGUGCCUUCAUGGACAGGACUAGGUUGCCAAAGCAGCCAAAACCUCUCCAGGGGAUGGCAGCUGGGAACAAGGCAGAGACGAGGGAAAUACAAAUAAUACAACCCCUGCUUUGGUCUGGGCUUCUGUUGCUAUGGUGAUGUUGACAACUAAGGCACAGGUGAGAGACUCUUUCCACAGUGGAGCCGGCAGAUCAUGCAAACCAGAGGGCUAGGACAGAACCACGAAAGACCCCACGCCUCCUAGGCCUGAAAAGGACUUCCUGAGGCCAUCCGCCCACUCCCAUAUCUCUUACCUGAAAUCAAAGGGAUGGGCAGCAAGUUCCCAAAAAUACUUGAGAACAAAGCCCACAACUCCCAAAUCCCCUGCUGGGCACAUAUUUCACAACACUCAUGACCCUGAAUGGGUUUUCUGUGGCUAAUCUCACAUUCUCUUGAAGUCCUUCCAGCCCAAUUCCUCUUACAAUGGAAAUCAAAGUUAAUCAUCACCUUACACUCUGUACGGUAACCCAGGAAGUAAGAUAAACAAGAAAACAAAACCACAGCUGAAGCGUGGACUCGCUUCUUUCUGUGUUCUUCUCAGGGGGUGGGCGCGACAGCCCCCUGACC